rnacentral:rRNA from 1 species
UACGUAUGGUGCAAGCGUUAUCCGGAUUUACUGGGUGUAAGGGGAGCGCAGGCGGCACGGCAAGCCUGAUGUGAAAGCCCGCGGCCCAACCGCGGGACUGCAUUGGGAACUACCGGGCUGGAGUGCCGGAGAGGUAGGCGGAAUUCCUAGUGUAGCGGUGAAAUGCGUAGAUAUUAGGAGGAACACCAGUGGCGAAGGCGGCCUACUGGACGGUGACUGACGCUGAGGCUCGAAAGCGUGGGGAGCAAACAGG